UGAGUUCUUCCAUGGCCUGCAUACUCACCAGACAUGUCACCCAUUGAGCAUGUUUUGGAUGCUCUGGAUUGAUGUGUACGGCAGCGUGUUCCAUUCCUGCCAAUAUCCAGAAAUUUCGCACAGCCACUGAAGUGGAGUGGUACAAUAUUCCACAGGCCACAAUCAACUGCCUGAUCAACUUGAUGGGAAGGAGAUGUGUCUCCCUGCAUAAGACAAAUGGUGGUCACACCAGAUACUAACUGGUUUUCUGAUCCACUCCCCUACCUUUUUUAAAGUACUGUAUCAGUGGCCAACAGAUGCAUAUUUGUAUUCCCAGUCAUGUGAAAUCCAUAGAUUAGGGCCUAAUGAAUUUAUUUAAAUUGACUGAUUCCUUAUAUGAACAGUAACUCAGUAAAAUCUUUGAAAUUGUUGCAUGUUGCGUUUGUAUUUUUGAUCAGUAUAUAUUUGUGUCAAAGACCUUGAAUACCGUGGGAAUUAUAACUGCUAUGUUUGCUGUGCAUCAUACAGAUCACCCGCUCUCACCAAUGAACACAACCCAAGGUCAGUGUGAAAUUGCAGAGCAGUACAAUAAUGUGUGUCGACAAGCUAAAACCUAGUACGAUAGCAUUAGUUGAUAGAACACUAAAGCUGUGAGAAACACACAGCAUAACACAGGUGCUAUGAUAGUGGUUGGUGGCGUUAGAUACAAAAAGGGUCAAGCUUGAUGGUUUUAUGAUGUUGAAGUUCAACUGUGGAUGUAUUUACUUUGCAUCCUGAUUUUUGUGGUGUUUGUGUACUCGCAUGUCUUAUCAAACAAAAUGUGUCAAUAUGAUGCUGGGAAAUGCUUAGGGAGUCAAUUAAAGCCAAGUAAACCAUUUUACAUCCAGAGCAAGGAGCUACGAACACAGGGCUGAAUCCUGAUCUGGGAUAUUAAUCACAUCUCAAACAUCCAUAUAAAUCAUAAAUAUUUAGGUAAGUCCUUUAGAAGACUUUACAUAAAUAUAUUAAGGCCAAGAUUUCAACAUUUACUGCAUAGUGAGAAGAAAAACUGCUGACACAUUAUGGGUCUAAACCAGGCUUAAAACUUGGGAAAUGGAUAAAUUUAUAACUCAGCAAGUUGGGAAGACAGGUUUAGACAGAGAGAUUAAUUCAUUAUUUUCGCUGGCUGCCUUUUAUGUACUAGAUGAACAUGUGGCAGAGAACAAGGGAUGUGUCCCAAAUGGUACCCUAUUCCCUAUAUAGUGCACUACAUUUGACCAGGGUAGAUCGGGG
rnacentral:lncRNA from 1 species